CACGCACAUACACGGAAAGCACUACAUAUAAAGGAAGAAGGGGCACAUCAGUACCGCCGUUCACCGGCCCCGUUAUCACCACUACGGCUAUACCUAGACAUAUAUAUAUAUACCCUGUCUCUCUCACUCUCCCUCUCGCUUCCUGCACACUGUCCACGAACAGUCACACACCCACACACAGAGAAGUACGUGGCUGGACUCUGCCGCGCAGUGUAAGAGGGAGCAAGGCCGGGACCUAAGUAACAGUACUCGGCCCCCUCCUCCUCCCAAAAGAAAAAGCACAAGGCAAGCGCAAAGACUUUCAUCUCGGUCAGCAAGCAAGCAAGCACGGCUCAUCACCGCAUUCAUCAACCGCGAGGGCGGCACAGUAGAGGUCGCCGCAGGUGGGGGACGCAGGCUUUCAGAAAAGGGCAUUGAGCUGUGCGCGUGCACACCUCUCCUUCCUUCCCUUCUUCCUUCGGCGCUACAUCUCAUUGCGUCCUCACCGACUCGCGAACGGGGCGCCAACAAACCCGCAACCCCGCGCGCGCUCGCACAGGCACACGGGCACGGAGAGAUACAAGCACACGUAUUAGGGGGAACGCAGCCACCAUACACACACACACCUUCUAUACUUCCUUUUCUUUCGUUGUGGCUCUCCUCUGUCCACCGUGCGCUAGGUUUGUGUGCACGUGUGCGUGUCGGUGCCCCCCCAUGCUUAUUCAGCUCUCUCGCAGGAGAGAGAAGCGGAUAGUUUGGCCUUUGAAGACAGGAAAAGAGAGGUUAGGGGAGCGGAGCGGGGCGGGGAGACGCACGUCGACCCAGAAGCAACAUACCGUGCUCCAGAGCCGCCCUUCUAUCUAGACUUCCUGGGUGUUGCUGGAAAGCUCUGCUGCUGCUGCUGCGAUUGCUACCCUGCCUCGUCAUCACGGACGUCCUUCAGUCCAUCACCUCUACCUACCUUCACUACUAUUAAAGCCAUUCUCACCUAUAGUUGCUGUGUCCGUUUCUCUCCCUCCCUGUGUGGGUGUGGGUGUGGGUGUGUAUUCUUGUUGCCGCGGCAUCGGUGCUGACUCUAGUCCCCGAUCUGCCUCGGCAAUAUUUGUGAGUUUUGUGCGCGCGUGUGCGUGUCCUUCUCCCUCCCUCUCCCGUCUCCCCGUCUUGAGCUCCGUCUGUCUGUCCGUUCUUUUAGUUGGUUUCCGCCGUCUUUGUCUGAGCACACCGCCGCCGCCUAAAACUUUUUUUGAGGGGUUGUUUUUUUUUUUCGCCCGCUGGCAAACAAGCAAAUCACAGGCAUACGCACACACUUGCGUCCUGUUCCUCCUCCUCUUCCUCUUCAGCAUCACACGCCGACACCUUCUGGUGCUACAACCACUGCGGCGCCCUCCCUCUCCCUUUCUCUUUCUCUGUCUACCUGUCUGUCUACGUGUCACUCUCUCGCCGUGUGUGCGUGUGUGUGUUGACUCUCCUCCUCCUUCGGGAGCGUUGUCUCCCUCCUGUCGUUUUUGCGGCAACACACGGCCACGUGUGUGCGCGCGUCUUUUCUUCCAAGCAACGACAACACUGUUUUGUUGUCACUCGUGUUAUUAUCAGUGUGCGCUCGUGUUCUCUUCGUACGCUACCGUUCACAGCAUCCGCGUCGUCUCGCCACCCCCUCUGCCCCUCCUUUGUUGCCGUGGACGUCCUUUCCUUUCUUAUUUCCUAUUUUCGCUGCUGUGUGCGUGUCCGCCAGUGCUUCACCGGCUCCCCUCCCUCCCUUGACCAACACACACACACACACACACACACACACACACACCAUUGGCCCUCUGUCAGCCGGUGUAUCAAGUCACACAGUAUUGCCUCGGCUUGUCCUCUUUCCCCCUCCUCAGCUCUGCGCCGCGUCGUGCGCCCGUGCGGCGAUUGUGCGAAACAAGAUUGCGACGGACCGCUUCGCCCUUACUCGAACCUCAUCCCACCCAGUCAACCCUCUUUGUGGCUGCCGCAAGAAGAGGCCACCGUUUCACAGCGAGCACCACGCACCCGCAGCCGCCAAGGGACUUCCAAUGUCCUCUCGCUCUUACUACAGUGGCAGCGGGACGACGGCGGUGGUGCCGCAUACCAUCAGCAUCUCUACCGCUGAAACCACACCGUCGCAAGCGCCGUCGUCGCACACGGAGCAGCCGUCGAGUGACCAGCAGCACGAGUCGAGCUUGCACCAAGCGACGGCUUCGUUGCCCAUGAGCUUGAACAGCACUAUGAAUAACAAGGGUGCCUCUGCGGCCGCUGCUGCUGCGGCGGCGGCGCCAUCAUCACACGGCGGUGACAGUCACAGCAUCGGAGCAGCAGCGAAAGCCAGUGGCAGUGAGCGCGCGAACUGGAAUAACCCCUCAUUCGCGGCAGCGCUGCGCAACAGCAGCGGGUCAAUCAAUGUCGACGGCUACCCUCCAGCGCAGGCCCAUCAACAGCCAUCGCAUCCCUCGCUGCUGUCGCACAGCACAGACGUGGACGAUGAAGGCGACGGCGCGCAGCACGCGGCGGUCAACGAGCCGCUCGAGUACUGUGGUGUGCGUCUCCUGCCCGGAGUGGAGCAGAUCGACUUUGACGAGGGCUACUACGUCGGCACGAUCGACGAGAACGGCGAGAUGGCCGGCUACGGCAAGGCAACGUGGCACAGCGGUGACACGUACGAAGGCGAGUGGCUGAACGGCAUGAUGCAUGGUAAGGGCACCUACACGUGGGCAGAUGGCGACUACUACCAGGGCAACUACGUUAGAGGUCGCAUGGAGGGUCGUGGCGAGAUGAAGGACGCCACGGGGCUGUACACGGGUGAAUGGGCAGACGACAUGCGGCAAGGCUACGGGCGCAUGCUGUACGCAGGCGGCAACGUGUACGAGGGUGAGUGGCUGGCAGGCAUGCGUCACGGCUCUGGCAAGCUUGUCGAGCCCGCCGCGCACGUCACGUACGAGGGCGAGUUCAACCGGAACGAAAAAGAGGGUCGUGGCGUGCAGACGAACUCUGACGGCGACGUCUACGAGGGCGAGUUCGCCCGCGGCAAACCCAACGGUCGCGGCACCUAUCUCUGGGCCGACGGUGCACGCUACAUCGGCAUGUUUAAGGACGGCGUCAAGCACGGCGACGGGUGUGAGUGGCUCGCCAACGGUGACUGGGUUGCUGGACUCUUUGUCGACGGCGAGCACGUGGACAGCCAAUCGACGCGCCACAAGGCAACCGUCCUCACACCUGACAGCAGCGACGCCGAUGGCGGAAGCGAGGACGGAGCGGGUGACGGCGGCGCUGGCGGCAGUCGGGGAAGCAUUGGUCUCUCCGAAUCGACGGCGGCCGCCGUACUCGCCCCUCUGGACGCUGAGAAGCUGCGCCGCAUUGCUGAUCAGGUUCACGCCCCGUCCUUCUCGAUGAACGUGUCGGCAGCAGCCAUGAGGAGCCUCAGGAGCUCGUUGCGCAAGAACAGCUCCUCGCACUACCAAGACUUCAGCGGCCCAGGCGGUGUGACUAUCGAGGAGGCAUCGUCGCCGUUCUUGCGUUCUCUGGCGGCUCCGCAGAUGCUGCUGGACGACAGCGACCUCGAAGGCUGGACGCCGCUCAAGACGAUCGGCAAGGGUAGCUUCGGUGCCGUGUACACGGCCCUCCUGCGCAACGGCCGCACGGUGUGCUGCAAGGUGAUCGAGCUUGGCACUGUGGAGAGCGAGGAAGAGAUGGAGAAGUUACGCAACGAGAUUGCGCUGAUGAGGCGGCUGCGGCACCCGAACUGCGUCCAGUACUACGGUAGUCUGGAGGACAAGGUGCAGAACACGCUAAACAUCUUCAUGGAGUACGUCAGCGGGGGCACGCUCACGAGCUUCGUGGCCAAGUUCAAGAGCAUUCCGCUGGAGACGCUGCGGCAGUGGGUAUACCAGAUGGUUUGCGGCGUGAAAUACCUGCAUGAGUGCGGCAUCGUGCACCGCGACAUCAAGGGCGACAACGUGCUCGUCUCCGUCGACGGCAUUGUGAAGCUGGCGGACUUCGGCUGUAGCAAGGCGAUCGACGAUGUCUGCAGCGCCACGCACGGUUGCUCGACGAUGGUCGGCACGCCGUACUGGAUGGCCCCGGAGGUGAUCAAGUGCGAGGCUGGCGGGUACGGCGUAAAGAGCGACAUCUGGUCCAUUGGCUGCACGAUUGUGGAGAUGUUGACGGGCAAGCCGCCAUGGCCGGAGUGCAACUCGAUGUGGGCCGCCGUGUACAAGAUCGCGAACUCUACCGGGCUGCCGACGGAGAUACCGGCCGACAUAGACCCGGAGCUGAUGGAUCUGCUGCAGAGGUGCUUUGAGCGCAAUCCGAAGCUGCGCCCGACAGCCGCAGACAUGCUGAGCCACCCGUUCUUGGCCAAGGUGACCGAGGGAGUCGCGUCGCCGCUCGAGAAGAGCGGGCGCAAGUGAGGGGGUGCGCACGAUCAUCAUCAUCUCUGCCCGCACCCCCUCCCUCUCUCCCUCUCUCUCACAGCCCACCCACUCCGCCUCUCGAACCGUUGCCUUGUCGUCGUUGUUUCUUCCCUAUUUCAUUGUGCUCUUUUUUACGUCUGUCUGUCUGUGUUGUUGUUGGCCGGCUCGUUGGCUGGCUGGCUGCUGCUUGUGCUUGUAGCGUGAUCCUUCUCUUCCCUCUUCCCUUCUCUUCUGUGCUUCGUUUUCAGUUUGCAGCCGACUAUUUUCCUUUGUUUUUUUUUUCGAAGUUUGCGUCUGCGCAUCAGUGCCCCCCCCUCCCUCCCUCCCUCCCUGUCUCUCUUUCUUCUUGUGGCGUUCGGUGUUAUUAUUUUCGUUAAGCUCAUAACACAACGCAUCACAUUACGCGCGCGCGAUCUCUCGUUUCACGUUUCGUUAUGAUUUCCGUCUUCUCGUUACGUCUCUUCCCUGUCACCGCUUCCACAGUGCAGCCACCGUCACGGUUGCAUCACCACCACCACCACCAGCACCACCGCCGCCGCCCUCUCCCCUCCUCCCUCCGUAUGUUGCGUGCGGGCCAUCUUCCUUUUUGUGUCUUCUCUCGGCCGGCGUGGCUCCCUACUCAUCUCUUGUCUCCCUCAGCCCCACCCCCUUCCCACCGCCUCGAUCUCGACAUGCAUGCAUGCACACACGCGCGCCUGCACGCGCACCCCCCCCCUCCCCUCCUGCCCUCCUCCUCCUAUUCCCCCUUUUCCUUCCCUGUCUUCGUCUGUUUCUCGGAUCCGCCGUUGCUCGCACGCUGCUUCAUACGUGGGAGGGUCGCCUGCCGUUUUUUCGGUUGGUUUCGUUGUCCGUCUGGUCGCGUGCGCAUUGUGGGCCCCCUCUCCCUCACCACCACCACCCCUCCUCACGGCCCGGCGUGCGCGCGGGAGAAUGCGUGUCGCCCGGUGCCUGUGCGCCUGUCCGCGGCCGCGUCUUUUCCGGCCGGCGAGUCCGAUCCGCAUGGCUCCUCGCGCCCGUGUGCUCGUGCGGCUUGCGCGCCGCUGACAAUUUUUUUUUGAGGGGGCGCGAAGUGACGGAGGGGACUCGCUGGGAACGCUGCCGCUUGUCUUGCUGGCCUGUGCGCGCGAGAGGGGAAGGGAGAGAGGGGGGGAGGAGGAGGAGAGCGCGAGGGGAGAGAAGAAAGAGAACGCAAUGAUGGGCGUGCGGCUGCCGUGAUGCCGCCGCCGCCGCUGAUGAUGAUGAGCUCUUCUCGUGGUGAUGAGGAUGAUCAUGCGUUUGUGUUUUGUUUUGUUGUUGUUUCCCCUGCGUUGCGCGUAGACGGUGUCUACCACAGAAGU
rnacentral:misc_RNA from 1 species